AAGAUCAUCUCCUGUAGGACCUCUCUCAAUCUAAGUGAUAGAAUAUUGGCAGCAACCAUUAAGAUUUGUCACCAGAAAUGAAUUUCUGAAUCCUUUGUACCCACUGAACCAGCUUUUCUUAGAUCUAAAGAACUAAGUAAACAAUAUUCACUAUGUUCUCAUAUAUUUCAACAAAACAUAUAAUAAUAUCCUGGCAAGUCUUAAGAAUAAGUCACAACGAAGUCACUGAUACUAAAAGAUUCUCUAAAUCUUUCAUCUUUCCCUACAAGGUCACACAACUCUCCUACAAAACAAU
rnacentral:misc_RNA from 1 species